GAAUUGCACUUUAGCAAUGGUGA
rnacentral:ncRNA from 3 species